rfam:Triticum urartu cultivar G1812 contig372856, whole genome shotgun sequence.
UUGCUACUCCUUCCGUUUCAAAUUAUUCGUCGCAGAAAUGGAUGUAUCUAGAACUAAAAUACAUCUAGAUACAUCCAUACCCGCGACAAGUAAUUCGAAACGAAGAGAGUAGAUG